AUCUAGUUGAAAAGAACUCGAAAUUAAACUUAAUUAUAAGAGUCUGAAAACUCAACUCAGUCUUCAAGCAGAGGACUGUAAGGGCUCGAGUACUGCCCAGCACUAUCCGAGCUGACCGGGACGUCCGAGCUGACUGUUCGUGACAAAUGUCAUAAUAAAUGUCAAUCAGAUUGAAAAAAAUGGUUCGAUCGAAAGCAAGCGGAUAUGGAAGGAAAUAAUAAAAUCAAAAUAUUGGCCCUGGCUGCCUUAAUGACUGAUGAAGAGGCUACUGCACAUUCUAGGUAAUGGGGCGUACAUGCACUUUGGUCGACACGUUCGGAAAAAUGAGAAUACACAGCAUGAUGUAAAGAGCUUUAUGUACUGAUAUGACCCAAGACUCUUUCGAAGCCGUUCACUGCAGAAUUAAACAACGUUUAACAAAAACAAAAACUCUGGAUCUCUGCUUAAGGUAAGAUAUGGAAAUACAAUGCAUGUACCUACUAAUAAAUAUGUAUAAUCAAGUGCCGAAACAUAUUAAGCUAUUAAGAGGAAAGGGAAUGACCGAUUCUCCAUACAAACAUAGUUCCCGUUUUCCUGACUGGAUAUUGAUAUUAUGGAAUAUUUAAGUAGCCUUCAGCAAACUGUAGUGAUACCCAAUGCAUUUUGUUACAUUCCACAAUUGUAGAUUUUUCAGCUUAUCGGGUUUUGACAUUAUUUUCUCCCAUCAAUCCGACGUUCUUCAGUGUUCAUGUGUUCAGUUCAGAUUUGUUCAGUUCCAGGAACGCAUAAGAAACGAGUUUAAAACAGAAGAAAUUUACAAUGGCUGCGAGAAUGUAACAAAAAUUUAAAGUAUCGAUAUAAGAUAAUUAUCUUCAAGCUGUUUUCGGCCACAGCGAAUACAAUACAGCACUAAAAAUGUCGGUGGUGCGCACUCAAUAAAAUAAGCAGUUCAUAUUACGAGUGACGUGACUAUAUCAUCAUAUCAGCCUUUUGUUACCCACUGCUGAGCAUAGUCGAGACAGAUCAUCCACUCCAGAUGCAACCCUAAUACUGACCACGAUCCUCAGACAUGAGGGACCGACCAAAGAGAGAGCUGAGCAUAGGCCUCUCUUCGAAUACGCCACUUAUCCCGGUCCCAAGCCAAUCUCAUCCAGAAGUGACCCGCAGUCUUCCACCCAACGAGCUAACGGACGCCAGGCACUCCUUUCGUCUGUAUGCGGCCACCAUUCCGUUAACAUUUUGGCCCACCUGCCAUCACUCUGCCUGACAACUUGUCCCGCCCAGCUCCAUUUAAGUUUGGUAAUGACGUAUCCGACUUCUUGCAACUUGGUGCGAUGUCGAAUCUCUACAUUCCUCACUCGAUCUUGUAGUUUGAUGCCGACCAUGGCGCGCUCCAUGGCUCUUUGUGCCACUUAGAUUUUAUGCAUGACGUGACUAUAUAGAAAAAUAAAAAUAAAAAUAAA